rnacentral:rRNA from 1 species
CGAACGCUGGCGGCGUGCUUAACACAUGCACGUCGAACGGAAAGGCCCUGCUUUUGUGGGGUGCUCGAGUGGCGAACGGGUGAGUAACACGUGAGUAACCUGCCCUUGACCUUGGGAUAACUUCAGGAAACUGGGGCUAAUACCGGAUAGGAGCUCCUGCUGCAUGGUGGGGGUUGGAAAGUUUCGGCGGUUGGGGAUGGACUCGCGGCUUAUCAGCUUGUUGGUGGGGUAGUGGCUUACCAAGGCUUUGACGGGUAGCCGGCCUGAGAGGGUGACCGGCCACAUUGGGACUGAGAUACGGCCCAGACUCCUACGGGAGGCAGCAGUGGGGAAUAUUGCACAAUGGGCGGAAGCCUGAUGCAGCAACGCCGCGUGCGGGAUGACGGCCUUCGGGUUGUAAACCGCUUUCGCCUGUGACGAAGCGUGAGUGACGGUAAUGGGUAAAGAAGCACCGGCUAACUACGUG